AUUGAACGCUGGCGGCAGGCCUAACACAUGCAAGUCGGGCGAUUCUGGUUUCGGCCAGGAGAGCGGCGAACGGGUGAGUAACACGUAGGAAUCUGCCUGGUAGUGGGGGACAACGUCUCGAAAGGGACGCUAAUACCGCAUACGCCCUACGGGGGAAAGCAGGGGCCCUUCGGACCUUGCGCUAUCCGAUGAGCCUGCGUCGGAUUAGCUAGUUGGUAGGGUAAAGGCCUACCAAGGCGACGAUCCGUAACUGGUCUGAGAGGAUGAUCAGUCACACCGGAACUGAGACACGGUCCGGACUCCUACGGGAGGCAGCAGUGGGGAAUAUUGGACAAUGGGCGAAAGCCUGAUCCAGCAAUUCCGCGUGUGUGAAGAAGGCCUUCGGGUUGUAAAGCACUUUAGUUGGGGAAGAAACAGCUUGGCCACACCAAGCCUUGACGGUACCCAAAGAAUAAGCACCGGCUAACUCUGUGCCAGCAGCCGCCGUAAGAC
rnacentral:rRNA from 1 species